CACAGUUUAACAUGAUGGACUUGAGGACACCAUUGUUGAUUCUGACCAUUUUGUGGGCAGGUGUUGAUGGUCAGACUCUGACUCAAUCUGAAUCAGUCAUUAAAAGACCUGGAGAAUCCCACAAACUGACCUGUACAGGUUCUGGAUAUACCUUUGGUGACCACAGCAUGGACUGGGUCAGACAGGCUCCUGGAAAAGGACUGGAGUGGGUUGCUUAUAUCAGAUAUGACAGUGCUAACAUCUACUACUCUCAGUCAGUUCAAGGCAGGUUCACCAUCUCCAGAGACAACACCUUACAGCAGGUGUAUCUGCAGAUGAACAGUCUGAAGACUGAAGAUUCUGCUGUUUAUUAUUGUGCUCGACACCCACAGUGA